UACGUAGGUGGCAAGCGUUGUCCGGAUUUAUUGGGCGUAAAGCGCGCGUAGGCGGUUUUUUAAGUCUGAUGUGAAAGCCCACGGCUCAACCGUGGAGGUGCAUUUGAAACUGGGAAACUUGAGUGCAGAAGAGGAAAGUGGAAUUGCAUGUGUAGCGGUGAAAUGCAUAGAGAUAUGGAGGAACACCAGUUGCGAAGGCGGCUUUCUGGUCUGUAACUGACGCUGAUGCUCGAAAGCGUGGGGAUCAAACAGG
rnacentral:rRNA from 1 species